AAAAAUCACAACUGAUAGCAAUUAUUUUUUUGCAUAUUUAAAUUAUUCCAAAAAUGUUAUGCCUUUGUUUAUCUAGUGAAGAUUCUAUUUUUCUAUUAUUUUGACUAUAGUGCACUUGCAUGCAGAAUUGCACUGUAGUAAACUGCAAAGGACAUGGCAAAUACCUUUUUCAAUCACCGUCACCCAAUCGAUAAGAAACCUUACCUUAGAACGUUUUACUUGUUUGAUUAAAUUGUUCAGUUUUCAGGGCACCUGUGUAGCUCAGUCAGUUAAGCGGCUGACUCUUGAUUUCAGUUCAGGUCAUGAUCCCAAGUUUUGGGCUCUGUGAUGAUAUUGAUGAGCCUACUUGGGAUUCUCUCUCCCUCUCUCUCUCUCUCUCUCUCUCUCUCUCUCUCCCCCACCCCCUCAUCUGCUCUUAUUCUCUCUCUCAAAAUAACUAAGCAUUAAAAAAAUUGUUCAAUUUUCUUUUAGUUAUAAAAUAUCAAUCCUUGGGGUGCCAGGCUGGCCCAGCAGGUUUGGCAUCUGAUCCUUGAUUUCAGCUUAGGUCAUGAUCUCAUGGUUUGUGGGAUGGAGCCCCACAUUGGGCUCUGCACUGUUAGUGCAGAGCCUGCUUGGGAUUCUCUCUCUCCCUUGCUCUCUGCACCUGCCCCACUCUCUCUAGCACACGCACUCUCUUCCAAAAUAAAUACAUAAACUUCAAAAAAAAAGUAAAUCAAUCCUUUCUUACUACUUCAAUCUCUCUGAUUAAUGUUUCCUCUCUCCUCAAAUGCUGUUUCUUCAAAAGGCACAUGGUUUCCCCACUUUCUCACCUUAUAUUUCCUCAUUACUCAUCAUUCAACUUUUAUAUCCCCAACUUUUAUGUUCACCAUCUCAACUUAAGCAUUUGUAAUAUAUCAUAUCAUAUCAAUUCAUAUCAUAUCAUCCAGUGGAACUUACUGUCUUUCAUGUGUUCAUUACUGUUGAACAUUACUGUGGAAGUUGUUUUGAAAUCACAGUCUUUCCCUUCAUCUGUGUCAUUUCCUGGAUUCUUUUGCUCCUUAAAUCUUAAACAGCAGUUUCUGUUUCCCAGGCUUAUUUUCUCAGCUUUCUUUAAUUUUCUUUUUAUUUUAUACUACCUCUUUGAGAAAACCAUACACAUUCUUCUUUUCAACAAACUAUUGAAACUAAUAGACAAAACUAGACUCAUUACCAUUUAUCCCAGACUAUUUCACCUUGUAAGAUAUCCUGAUUGCUCUUAUAACAACCAGGUUGCUAUCAAGGCUUACUUCAGAUUUCUUCUCCCACAUAAUCUGCAAAUUAAGAUUUCUUUUAUUCUUUUUUCUUCAUAAGAACUGCUAAGAUAUUACCUACAAAUGCUCAUUAUAUUUUACUUGAAAGCUGUAAUCUCCUAACUAUUCCUUCUGCCUAUAUACUUUAAUCCUUCUUUUCAGUUCUCUAAAAAGCAAUUCUUAUUUCACUACCUUUGUUAAAAAUCCUAUAAUGCCCUCUCUAAUUUGAAACAUAACAAUAAUAAAUUCUUCAGUAUAAGGAGAGGCA
rnacentral:lncRNA from 1 species